rnacentral:rRNA from 1 species
AACCUGGUUGAUCUUGCCAGUAGUCAUAUGCUUGUCUAAAAGAUUAAGCCAUGCAAGUGAAAGUAUAUAUAUAUUUAUUAUAUAGAAACUGCGAACGGCUCAUUAAAACAGUUAUAAUCUACUUGACAUUUUUUUAUAAGGAUAACUACGGAAAAGCUGUAGCUAAUACUUGAUCGAUUUUCUUCAAAACCCCAAAAAGGUUCUGUUGAACACGUAUUUGUUAAGCCUUAUAAGAAAAAAGUUACUAACUAAAGGAAUUAUAACAAAGAAGCAACACAUAAUAAAGCUGCGUCUUAUUUAGUGUGUAUCAAUCGAGUUUCUGACCUAUCAGCUUUUGAUGUUAGGGUAUUGGCCUAACAUGGCUAUGACGGGUAACGGGGAAUUAGAGUUCGAUUCCGGAGAGGGAGCCUGAGAAAUAGCUACCACAUCUAAGGAAGGCAGCAGGCGCGUAAAUUACCCAAUUCUAAAGAAGAGAGGUAGUGACAAGAAAUAACAAUGCAAGGUCAAUUUUUGAUUUUGCAAUUGGAAUGAUAGGAAUUUAAAACCUUCCCUAAAGUAACAAUUGGAGGGCAAGUCUGGUGCCAGCAGCCGCGGUAAUUCCAGCUCCAAUAGCGUAUAUUAAAAUUGUUGCAGUUAAAACGCUCGUAGUUGAAUUUCAAAGAAUCUAUUUUUAAGGAUGUGCUUUAUUGGAAUUAUGCUAAUUUGUCACUUCGGUGUUCAUUUUACAUACAUUCUAGUAAAAUGUACUCUUUAAAAUAAAAAACAUUCUUUUUAAAAUUCUUUAUUGCAUUUAAUGUGAUGAGAAUUUUUGUUACUUUGAGUAAAUUAGAGUGUUCAAAGCAAACAGUUUAAAACAGCUAAAACUGUGUUUGAAUACUACAGCAUGGAAUAACAAAAUUGAACAAGCUAAAAUUUUUGUUCUUUUUUCUUAUUUUGGCUUAGUUACGAUUAAUAGGAGUAGUUUGGGGACAUUCGUAUUCAGAUGUCAGAGGUGAAAUUCUUAGAUUUUCUGGGGACGAACAACUGCGAAAGCAUUUGUCUAAAAUACUUCCAUUAAUCAAGAACGAAAGUUAAGGGAGUGAAGACGAUCAGAUACCGUCGUAAUCUUAACCAUAAACUAUGCCGACUAGGUGUUGGAUGAAAGUGUAAAAAAUAAAAGAUGUUCUAAUGCAAAUUAGAAUAUCUUUUAGCUUGCUUCCUUCAGUACCUUAUGAGAAAUCAAAGUCUUUGGGUUCUGGGGCGAGUAUUCGCGCAAGCGAGAAAGUUAAAAGAAUUGACGGAAGGGCACCACCAGGCGUGGAGCUUGCGGCUUAAUUUGACUCAACACGGGAAAACUCACUAGUUUAAGACAAGAGUAGGAUUGACAGAUUAAUAGCUCUUUCUUGAUUUCUUGGAUGGUGAUGCAUGGCCGUUUUUAGUUCGUGAAUAUGAUUUGUCUGGUUAAUUCCGAUAACGAACGAGAUCUUAACCUGCUAAUUAGCGGUAAAUACGACAUAUUCAUGUACAAAAAAGAAUAUAGGCAAAAAAUAACAUAAGUAAUACAAAAUAUUAGGAUAUUUUUAAUAUCUUAAUCCCUUUUCUAUUUAUUUUGUUUUUUUGUUCUAUUUCUUUUUUUGUGCAAGAAUGUAUUUACUUUAUUGUAAAGCUUCUUAGAGGGACAUUGUGUGUCUAACACAAGGAAGUUUAAGGCAACAACAGGUCUGUGAUGUCCUUAGAUGAACUAGGCUGCACGCGUGCUACACUGAUAUAUAUAACGAGUUACUAAAAAUAUAUCAUUGUAUAUGUAUUUAUACAUAUACAUUUGGUAUAAUUUUCCUCCACUGAAAAGUGUAGGUAAUCUUUAUCAAUAUAUAUCGUGAUGGGGAUAGAUUAUUGCAAUUAUUAAUCUUGAACGAGGAAUGCCUAGUAAGCAUGAUUCAUCAGAUUGUGCUGACUACGUCCCUGCCCUUUGUACACACCGCCCGUCGCUCCUACCGAUUGAAAGAUAUGAUGAAUUGUUUGGACAAGAAAAAAUAAAUUUAUAUUUGUUUUUUUUUGGAAAAACCGUAAAUCCUAUCUUUUAAAGGAAGGAGAAGUCGUAACAAGGUUUCCGUAGGUGAACCUGCGGAAGGAUCAUUA